rnacentral:rRNA from 1 species
AACGAACGCUGGCGGCAGGCCUAACACAUGCAAGUCGAGCGAUCCCUUCGGGGAUAGCGGCGGACGGGUGAGUAACGCGUGGGAACGUGCCCUUCGGUUCGGGACAGCCCCUGGAAACGGGGAUUAAUUCCGGAUGCGCCCUUAGGGGGAAAGGCUUCGGCCGCCGAGGGAUCGGCCCGCGUCUGAUUAGGUAGUUGGUGGGGUAACGGCCUACCAAGCCGACGAUCAGUACCUGGUUUGAGAGGAUGAUCAGGCACACUGGGACUGAGACACGGCCCAGACUCCUACGGGAGGCAGCAGUGGGGAAUCUUGGACAAUGGGGGAAACCCUGAUCCAGCCAUGCCGCGUGAACGAUGAAGGCCUUAGGGUUGUAAAGUUCUUUCGCCGGUGAAGAUAAUGACGGUAGCCGGAGAAGAAGCCCCGGCUAACUCCG